ensembl:snRNA U6 U6 spliceosomal RNA
GUGCUUGUUUCAGCAUCACUAACUAAAAUUGAACUGAUACAGAAAGGAUUAAUGUGGCGUCUGUGCAAGGAUUACACUCAUGAAUUGUUCCAUAUUUUU